rnacentral:sRNA from 1 species
UCUAGUGAAGCGACAGACAUCGACACUGA